UAUAAAUCUCUGAGGUUAUCCAAUAAAGCAAUUUGGGAUAAAGUCUUCUGCAGAAAUGUUUGACGCUUAUGGAACAGUGGUUCCCCAAUUUGGGCACAUGGGAUAUACCCUGAGAUGAUUAAAAAUACUGACACCUGGCUCCUACCUACAGACAUGGUGUUUUAGUUUAGCUGGGCAAAACGUGGGCAUCAGGCCUUUCAAUCCCUGUCUCCACAUUCUAAUGUGCAGCAAAAUCUGGAAACCACUGUUACAAAAAUGGUGUCUUCAAAUUUUUCUGCCUUCAGUUCUGGGAUUGACAGGAAACACAAAUCCUAAGCCCUUAUUUCUGGGAUCUUUUGGGGCUGAAUGAAACAGAGAAAGCACAAGGUAACACCCACCAUGUUGGAACCAUUUUCACAUGACCAUAGUAUUUUCUCUCCACAGAAUUUCAGGCAAAAGUAUAAUAGAGGGCCAGCUGAAACCACUGUGAAGCAAGUAUCAAUUUGGGGAGUUGUUAGGUAGAUCUGUUAUAGCUGGAACUAUAAGCAGGCAAAGAACUGGUAUAGGAUAGAGACGGAAGACCAAAGUGGGAUAUCCAUCAAAUGUAAACCACUCCACCCCCAGACUGUGGGGACGGGGAGGCUGGGGAGGAACAGGAAAGAUCAAAUACAACUCCUCCUCCCAUCUAUAAGUUCCCACACCAUGGAAACUUUGCAUAAGUGCAACAAAGGCCGGUUCACCACACCCUGAAAUCUCACACCCCCCCUCCCUUUCUUCUUGCUGAGGUAACCACACACUGUACCCACAGCGGCAGGCAGCUCAGCAGAGGUCAUCGUGCCCUCAGUUAUCCAGCUUGAGUCCUUGUCUGAAAGCUACUGGCAAUAAGAAGGACGGUACCAUCUCAGUGGGACAGCUUUGAAGACAUACUUGUCUGAGGCUGUGAUGGAAUCAUACCUGUCUACAGUUUCACUGCUUUAUGGCCUAGCAGGAAGAACCAGGAGGGAAGUUUGGACAUACUGACAGAUGCGCAAAGAGGGACGAAGAUGUGAAAGCACACAGGGAGAAGACAGUCAUGUGACUGCAGUGAUGACAUUUAGAAACCAAUGGAUUCCAAGGAUUGCUGGCAAACACCAGAAGCUAGAAGAGGCAAGGAAACAUUCUCCCCUCGAAACAUCCGAGAAAGCACAGCCUUGCUAAUAACCCCUUGAUCUAUGACUUCUGGCCUCCAGAACCAUGUGACAAUAAAUUUGUUUAAAAAUUUU